UACAACAACACACUCAUUAAUCAAAAGCUAUUAUUGCUCAUUUAUUCCAACUUAAGGUAAUAAAGUCGCGCCUUUGCUACUAGCUAUAGCUUUUGGCGUAACUGGUAAGCGUUUGAUCCUAACAAAUGGUAUUAGAGCCAGGUCACGGGUGAACAGUUAAGAUU